AUCUAAGUAGCUUAAAAAAUUAAAGCACAGCACUGAAGAUGCUGACAUAGGGGACUCCCUCAUAGAUA
rnacentral:tRNA from 1 species